AUUGAACGCUGGCGGCAGGCCUAACACAUGCAAGUCGAGCGGCAGCGGGAAAGUAGCUUGCUACUUUUGCCGGCGAGCGGCGGACGGGUGAGUAAUGCCUGGGAAAUUGCCCAGUCGAGGGGGAUAACAGUUGGAAACGACUGCUAAUACCGCAUACGCCCUACGGGGGAAAGCAGGGGACCUUCGGGCCUUGCGCGAUUGGAUAUGCACAGGUGGGAUUAGCUAGUUGGUGAGGUAAUGGCUCACCAAGGCGACGAUCCCUAGCUGGUCUGAGAGGAUGAUCAGCCACACUGGAACUGAGACACGGUCCAGUCUCCUACGGGAGGCAGCAGUGGGGAAUAUUGCACAAUGGGGGAAACCCUGAUGCAGCCAUGCCGCGUGUGUGAAGAGGGCCUUCGGGUUGUAAAGCACUUUCAGCGAGGAGGAAAGGUUGAUGCCUAAUACGUAUCAACUGUGACGUUACUCGCAGAAGAAGCACCGGCUAACUCCGUGCCAGCAGCCGCUGUAAAAC
rnacentral:rRNA from 1 species